UAAAUAUAUCUAAUUUGAUUUUGAUGCGGGUUUUACCUGAGUGCAGUUGGGACUAGACGCUAGUUAUCUAUAUUUUGAAGUUUUUACUAAGUAUAUAUUUUUCACCCUACCAAUUUCAAUUUAGCAUUUAUUUGUUUUAAAAAUGAUGAUAUUCUUAUAUGAACUAAAUUAGUUUUUUGGUGGAAACUUUCCUAUUGGCUAUCAUAAUAAUUAAAUAAUAACAAUUUUAUUUAAAUAAUAAGAGUAUCUAUAUAUGAACCUCAAUAUAUUAUCUAAAAUUAAUGAUAUUUUUUCAAAUUUUUUAUUCAUUUAGCAAUCAAGUCACAAAGUGAUAUGCGUGGAAUUUUUUACACCAACUGAUAAAUAAAAACUUUAAUUGCAUACACUGACGCACUUGUUGCAAUAAAGUGAUUAUUAUUAUCAUAUAGACCUUUCGCCAUGUCACGAAUAAAAAAUUUAAGCUUCAUCACGUACUAUUUGUCGCACUUUCUAUGUCACAAUAUAUAAAAUAUUGUUAUUCUAUUUUGAGUUUUUUUCCUUCUUCGUAAAGUACAUUCUCAAUUAACAUUCAUUUUCAAUUAGAAAUAUCGGAUCAAGUAUUUACAAAUAAAUAACUAUAUAUAGCAACAUUAUUUCACUGACUGACAUAUUAUCUUUUCGUGUAUUUGAGCAUUAAAUAAAAAAUAAAAAACCUAAAAAUGAAAUUCGCUUUGGUCCUCUUCAUCGCCCAGGUGGCCAUAUUCCAGUCCGCCUACUCCCAAGUGAUCAGAUCAUCCCAGAUCGCUCUCUCGGGACCACUCGUCGGGCCAGCCCUGCCUUCAUGCGGCUGCUCAUCCCUCCUACCCGCUCCCGUCCUGGCUCCUUCAUGCGGCUGCUCAUCCCCUGUCCUUUCAGCCCCCAUUGUCAGUGCCCCAGUAGUCUCAACUGCAGUUUCACCUCUCGUCGUUCCCAGUGUUGCCAACAGCCUAGCUGAUACCCUCUCCCUGUUGACUGUCAGCAGUCUGCUAGCUGAUACCCUUCCCUUGGCUUACCCCAAUGUGGUUAGCACCGUGCCAGUCGUUGGUGGAUGCGGAUGCGGUGGACUGGGCUACACUCUGUUCUAAAUUUCUUUAUCCGUCAUCUACAACAUUCAUUUUUUACAUUCCUUACAAAGUCUAGAAAUUUCAUAAAAACUUACACGGAACUAGUUCAAUUUUAAAAAAAUCUGUUAUGAUAAUUUCUUCAUCUUACCUGGAGAAAUAUAUUGCAUUGUUAUUAUUUUUUGCAUUCUCAAGAGGUACAAGUACCCGCUAACUGCCACACGCGCCCGUUUGGCAUUUGGCAGUUAUGUAGGAUACCGGUUUAAAGUUAUAAAUUUCUAUAUUUUCCUUUUUUAUAACCAUUGCAUUUUCAAAUCGCUUUUUGUCGUCUCAUUUCAAUCAUUCGAAUCUACAAUUUUAAACAUUUUCGACUUUUUUAUUAUUAUUCUCUAAUUUCGUAAAAGUUUUUUCAUAUUAUCAUUACCAUUAUCAUCAUAGUCAAUCAAAAAUUUCAAAACUUAAGUUUCUGUAAUUUGUAAAAAUAAAUUUCUAAAUUAUGCUGGUUGACCGUGUCUCAAAAUUGUAUUGUUUUAUUUUUCUUUAUUUUGUUUUUUAGCUUGUAAAUAAAUCACACCAUUUUAGUGUUGAAAUCGUUGAAAUUCAAAUAUAUUGUAACUGUACAACAUUUAUUUUUAAAUG